UCAUCAUCCCUCAAAAUAUUCAAAAUGGAUCAGAACAGAACAGCGUUUUCUGUCCAGCUUUAUAUUUAUGACCUGUCGAAAGGGAUGGCACGACAACUUAGCCCAAUUAUGCUCGGGAAGCAGCUGGAUGGGAUUUGGCACACGUCUAUAGUGGUGUAUGGAGAGGAGUUCUACUUCGGGGGAGUAGGAAUCUCCAGCUGCCCUCCGGGUGGAACGAUGCUCGGACCCCCUGAUACAGUGGUGGAGCUGGGCAACACCGAGGUCAAUGAGGAGAUAUUCAUGGACUACUUGUCGUCACUCGGCGAGACCACGUACAGAGGUGAGCGGUACCGGCUGUUUGAACACAACUGCAACUCCUUUUCCAAUGAGGUGGCUCAGUUUCUAACCGGCAGGAAGAUCCCGUCCUACAUCACAGACCUGCCUUCUGAAGUGCUCUCCACGCCAUUCGGUCAAGUUCUGAGGCCAAUUCUGGACUCCAUCCAUAUCGCACCACCUGGUGGAAAUGUCAUCAACAGUCGGAAUAACCAUAGCUAGGAAUAGCACAGGACAGGUAUAGGAGAGGGAAAAAGAGAACACUUCAGGAGCUACAGGGUCUAGUAUGUGCAGGUCCAGCCCAGCCCAUUCUUCUUCUGGAACCACCACCACUAGAGUGAACAUCUGCUUUUAACACUAUUACAGAGACGGUGUACCUCACUGGUGACCAGGUGAUUCAGAAAGAUGAUCUUAUAAUAACGUGUUCAGUCUACAUUGUGGAUUCUCCUGUAAAUCUGACAUUAGCUUCUUCACUGAGUGGCUGAGUUUAUUUCCGCUCAGGUCCAGAUCUCUCAGGUGUGAGGGGUUUGAUCUCAGAGCUGAAGCCAGAGCAGAACAACCUUCAUCUGAUACACCGCAACCCUUCAGACUGUGAACGAAAUAAUAACACCGUUUAGGAUUCAAAACUCAGUUCAGCCCAUAAGUUUAUACACACCUGUAAGAACCAUGCAUGUAUAUGGACGAAAGUAUUGGGACACGCCUUUUAAUUACUGAAUUCAUGUGUUUCAGCUAC